CAGCCGGCCGCCUAACGAUGCCAGACAGGCGGCCCGCAACAGCACGUCCCUCCCGGCUCUCCAAGGCCUCACAGCCAACUGGCAUUUCAAGCUCUGCACCAAGACAGAGAACGGAAAAGCUCAUUCCAGCCCCCACACUGCUCUAGCCCUUCUGGAUGUUCUCUGCUAUCCCAGGAGCUAGCGUUCCAGAAGCUUCCUCAGCUGGCCGCACCCAGCGACGCACCGUGCCUGGUCCUGGCCCUGGCUCACGGGGCUCUGCCUGCUCUGGCCCCCGCACAGGUGGGCACAGGGAGGCUUUCCGGCCGCGGCGGCUGUGGUUCUGCAAGAUCCGAGCCUCUAGCACCACGACGGACAGACACAGGAC